rnacentral:rRNA from 1 species
UACGUAGGGCGCAAGCGUUGUCCGGAAUUAUUGGGCGUAAAGGGCUCGUAGGCGGUUUGUCGCGUCGGGAGUGAAAACCAUGGGCUUAACUCAUGGCUUGCUUUCGAUACGGGCAGACUAGAGGUAUGCAGGGGAGAACGGAAUUCCUGGUGUAGCGGUGAAAUGCGCAGAUAUCAGGAGGAACACCGGUGGCGAAGGCGGUUCUCUGGGCAUGAUCUGACGCUGAGGAGCGAAAGUGUGGGGAGCGAACAGG